GCCCGCUUAGCUCAGUGGUAGAGCGCGUCACUUGUAACAGAUAGAAAUGAUGAGGUCGGUUGUUCAAUCCAGCCAGUGGGCA